GCUGCUGAGCGUAUAAAAUAUCCAACUUCCAUAUUWUUACMCGAGAGAUAUUUCAUAARAAAAAUGUAUGAGUGUGUCGUGUGUGUCUGUUUUUUUGAAGUUUCUCAAGUAAUGUUGUUCUCGUAUAUAUAUUGACAUCGUUGUGUAAUGUGAAUGACGAAAAAGAUGUGAUUAGUAAUAUGUGUGUGUGAUGUUGUGUGUGUAUAUGUGUGUGUGUUUGAUCCUCAUCUUCAUGUCGUUUGUUUUUAUAUAACUUUGUUUAAAUUUGUCAAGAGUAUCAAUGUGUCUGUAUAUAUUGGUUUGUGUGUGUAUCAUAAUUCAGAUACUGUAUGCUUUGUUUUUGGCACUGAACGCAUAACGGUAUAUCAAAUAUUUUAUUUYUGAGCCAUAUGUAUCAUGUGAUAUAAAAAAUGUGAGUGUAUUUAUUAACAUGCAUUCAUGUAUGGUAGAGAAUGUGAUUGAAAUAAAGUAUUACCGGAUAUGCACGCUAGUUGUAUGUUGAAGAAACAUUUGUGUAUGUUCGAAUAGUAAUAUAUAUAGAGUUCUGUGUAUGAAUCAUCCAUGUAUAUAUAUGUAAUAGAGUCAGUGUGUAUUCUUUUAUAUAAAUAUGCGUGCUUUGAUGUUUAUAUAUGUGAAUGUGUGUGUGUUUUUUUUUGGAACAUUUUGUGUAUGUAUCUUGUGUACUAAAAAAAAAAGUUUCAGCAAAUAUACAAUAAUACUACAUUAUAUUUUUUGUAAUUGUGGUGGCGUUUAUCAUUUUUUUGAAUUGAUAUAUAUAACAAUAUUAACCUCAGCUCAGACAAGAGUACCCGCUGAACUUAAGCAUAUCAGURAGCGGAGGAAAAGAAAACAACAGUGAUUCCCAUAGUAACUGCGAGUGAAGUGGGAAAAGCCCGACGUUGAAUCUUGUUGAGGAAACAUUUAACAAGAGUUGUGACGCAGGGAGCCGCAACUUUAAGCACAUUGCAAACAUCAAAGUUGUCCUGGAAUGGCACGCCAAAGAGGGUGACAGCCCCGUAUAUGAUGUUUGUGCUAAAAAUGUGUGUAGUUGAUAGCGGAUUUCCGUGAGUAGGAUUAUUUGGGAUUGUAAUCCGAAGUUGGUGGUAAACUCCAUCUAAGGCUAAAUAUUCACAGGAAACCGAUAGCGAACAAGUACCGUGAGGGAAAGUUGAAAAGAAUUCUUGAAAAAGAAGGUUAAAAGUGUGUGAAACCGAUGAAAGGGAAGCAUAUGUCAGUGUUUAUGAUUUGUUAUGAAAAGUAUGUUAUGUUGUGUGUAAAAGCAACUACUUAACAGUACAUUUUAUGUGCAGCAACGUGCGUGCUUGAUUCUUAUCGUGUUAUGCGAUAAUGUGUUUCAAGUAUUUGUUGAAUGAGCAUGAUGCUGUUGUGGUAUGAAACGCGAAUGUUAUUGUUCUCGCGCAUAUCAUUCAUGUAAAAUGAUGACAUGCCUUCUUUGUGACAAAUGCGCUGAUACAACCAAGUAUAUGAGCUGCUAUUUUUUUUCGAAAAAAUAGUUCAAAUACCUAAAAAACCAGGGCUUGCGAUAUGAUAAUUUGUAUAAUAUUCUUGUGAUAUUAUGCAAAGGAUUGUAUUAACCUUGUUAUUGAUGUGAUAAAACACAUGCACACCCUGUUGAAAUGGUUUUUUUAUGUUUUUGUGUAGCUUGGUUGCGUAUCAUGUGUAAAUAUCAUGAUAAUAAUGAUAAAUACAUAUUUAUCUUAGGCGUGAUAAUGUGUCUAAUGGUAAAUAAUAACCUGUAACGGAUAUAGUCAUUGGUGCAUGUAUUAUUAUUUCAUAAUAAUGAAAGAUGAUUCAUUCAUACACUUAGGAUGUGAGGUUUGCGAAAACCUAAGGUGUAUGUUUGUAUGAAAUGUGAAAUUGUUUCACAUUCAUCCAUGCAUAGUGUGAACAUAGCUAUAUUGUCAUGUACAGGUACGCAUGUAUCUAUAAUCAGCGUAACACGGUGAUAUAUGACCCGUCUUGAAACACGGACCAAGGAGCUUAACAUGUACGCGAGUCAAAGGGAAUUUUUUCGAAAGAAAAUUCAAAAAUACAAAAACCCUAUGGCGAAAUGAAAGUAAUCAUAAAAGUAUUGUACAAUACAUAUUCUGUGAGAUCCAUAUAUGAUAGCAUGUUAUGUGUACAUUUGUAUGUAUAAUAUGAUAAAAUGUGGCGCAUCACAAGCCGAUUGACCUCUCCAUAAUGGUAUUAUGUGCACACAUUAUUAUUAUGUGAAGUUGAUUGAGUUAGAGCGUACAUGUUAAAACCCGAAAGAUGGUGAGCUAUGCCUGGGUAGAGCGAAGCCGGAGGAAACUACGGUGGAGGCUCGAAGCGAUUCUGACGUGCAAAUCGAUCGUCAAACCUGGGUAUAGGGGCGAAAGACCAAUCGAACCAUCUAGUAGCUGGUUCCCUCCGAAAUAUCCCUCAGGAUCGCCGAGAUUCGUUUCAUGAUAUUUUUAACUAUCAUCAUCAUGCAUGUAACAGUGUGUGACUGUGAAAUGGUUAAUGGUAUAAACAGUUUCACCAGGUAGAGCGAAUGAUUAGAGGCUCUUGGGAUGAUAAAUCCUUUACCUAUUCUCAAACUGCGAACUGGUGAUGUAUUAAUAUAUGGUGAUUUCUUUAAUGUGUUAUUUUCGCAUGUUGUGAAUGAGUGUGAUUUGUGUUAAUGUGUGUUUGAAUGUUCAGUUCAUCAUGUGUGUGUAUAAAGAUAACCAAUUUGUGAAUCACUUUGAUAAUGUAAUGCUCUGUGAUCAUGUUAAUGUUAAUGGAUGCAUUAUGUUAUUUUUGUAAAAAGAAUUUUUAAUGGAAUGUAUGAAUCUCGAGUGGGCCAUUACUGGUAAGCAGUAAUGGCGAUGCGGGAUGAACCGAAAGCUAAGUUAAGGUGCCCAAGUGAAUGCCUAAGGAUACCAUGAAGGGUGUCGAUCGAUCAAGACAACGGGACGGUAGCCAUGGAAGUCGGCAUCCGCUAAGGAGUGUCUUCCAACUCACCCGUCGAAUCGAUCGGUCCCGAAAAUGGAUGGCGCUGAAGCAUUCCACCGAUACUUGGCCAUCAAUGCUCGAAACGACGUUGAUGGGUAGGAGGGUGUAACGGUUGCUGCGAAGGAUACACAACGUGAGUUGGUCUGGAGCAGCCGUUAGUAAUCAUCUUGGUGGUAGUAGCAACUUAUCGAACGAGACCUUCGAGCGCCGAUGUGGAGCCGGGUUCCAUGUGAACAUUAAUUGGACAUGGGUUAGUCGGUCCUAAAUGGUCGCCUAAAGGUGGAUGUAUGUUAGGUAAAGGGAGUACAAAUGCACCAUUCACUUGUGUGUGGUGUGUUUUCUCCAUUGCCAUGAAAGGGAAUCAGGUUGAUAUUCCUGAACCAGUAAUUGGAAAUGAUUUAACAUUUUAUUGUAUGUGUGUUGUGUGAUGUAUUUUACAUUUUACAUCCAUAUAUGAUGGUUAAUCAUGGCGGUAACGCAAACGAUAUCUUGGAGACAACAACAGUGAUCCUAGAAAGAGUUUUCUUUUCUUGUUAACAAAUCGAUACCCUGGAAAAGAGUCAAUCUACGAUAGGGUAUAAGAUUUGGAAGAGCAUCACAUUUGUUGUGUAUGUCUGGUGUAUUAUUGUUGUUCCUUGAAAAUCCAAGUGAGCGUAGUAAACAUGUGUAUGUGUGUUUUUCACGAAACACACAUAUGGGUGUUUACGGCAUUUUCAUUACUGUCCGUACCGAAACCGCAUCAGGUCUCCAAGGUCAUGAGCCUCUGGCGUUGAAACAAUGUGGGUAAGGGAAGUCGGCAAGUUUGAUCCGUAACUUCGGGAAAAGGAUUGGCUCUAAGGGUUGAGCCAAUUGGACCUUGUGGAUAAUUGUACUUUAUAUGUCUGUGAUAGGUAUCAUUCUUAUGUUUGGUAUGUGUUAUGAAUAUAUUGGGUAUGAUUUGUACAUUUAUGAUGGUUUAACACGAAUAUGUGCAUGUUGUUGUGUGGAUAAAUUUAUUUUUGUUCAUAUCAAUACACAGGUAAUAUAUGUUAAAUUUCAAAGUAAAUGACAUAAGGUUUGGUAUAUGUGUGCCUGUUAAAGGGUUGCAUAUAUAUCCUCGCAAUUGGUAUAUUAUUUUGAGCACAUGGGUACCUAUGCAAAUAUGUGCGUGUGUGUGAGGAAUAAUAUGUUUUUAAAUAUAUAACAACCAACUUAGAACUGUCACUAACUCGAGGAAUCCGACUGUUUAUUUAAAACAAAGCAUUGCGAUGGCUGGAAACAGUGUUGACGCAAUGUGAUUUCUGCCCAGUGCUCUGAAUGUCAAAGUGUGGAAACGCAUCCAAGCACGGGUAAACGGCGGGAGUAACUAUGACUCUCUUAAGUUAGCCAAAUGCCUCGUCAUCUAAUUAGUGACGCGCAUGAAUGGAUCAACGAGAUUCCUACUGUCCCUACCUACCAUUCAGCGAAACCACAGCCAAGGGAACGGGCUCGGCUGAGACAGCGGGGAAAGAAGACCCUGUUGAGCUUGACUCUAGUUUGAGUUUGUGAUAAAACACAAGAGGUGUAGAAUAGGUGGGAGAUGCAUAAUAGGGAGUCAUAUGGCAUCUAACCAUGUCAUGUGAUGACCUUGUGUAUCGUCAGUGAAAUACCACCACUUUUGUUGUUUUCUCACUUACUUGGUAGCAUGGGAAAAGUUUAUGUGUUAUACAUCAAUUUUUUAAAAUUGGUAUAAAUUUACCUUGAUACAUUAGUGAUGUUUAUAUAUAUACAUGUGUGUGCAUAUGUUUUGUAUUUCGYUAUGAAGCAUAUGUUUUACAUACAGGGUAUAUGUAAGCAUCACUUGUAUUUAAUGUUAUUUAUGCAAGUAUUUCACAAACUUUAUGUUAUGAAUAAUGUAUAUGGUUAAAAAAAUUCAUUUUUAAUUUUGUGCAUGAUUUACAUAUGUUAUGUCAUGAAUACACAUUUAUGUGUCCCUAUGUGAUUAAUAUGUGUAAAUUUUAAAACAUGUGCUAAUGUACAAACCCACCCACUGUUUUUAAUAUAUAUCAUUCGUGAUUAUAUUAAAAUAAGUAAAAGAAAGCAUUGUUAUGUCAUGUAUUUUUCAUGAACAUAUGUUGUGUGUGCAUGAAAGUGUAUACAUAAUAUGUGUACAUGUGAAAGUAUGUCAUGUAAUGUGUUUUUUUCAUUGCCAAGGACAUACUCAGAUGGGGAGUUUGGCUGGGGCGGCACAUCCUUUAAAUUACAACGAGGAUGUCCUAAGGCAAGCUCACCGUGAACGGGGAUCACGGGUAGAACAUAAGGGUAAAAGCUUGCUUGAUUAUCACUUUCAGUGUAUGAGUGAUAACCGUGAAAGCGUGGCCUCACGAUCCUUUAAUUUUCCUGAGAGUUUCAGGAUAGAGGUGACAGAAAAGUUACCACAGGGAUAACUGGCUUGUGGCAGCCAAGCGUACAUAGCGACGCUGCCGUUUGAUCCUUCGAUGUCGGCUCUUCCUAUCAUUGGGUUGCAGAAGGCCCAAAGUGUUGGAUUGUUCACCCACCAACAGGGAACGUGAGCUGGGUUUAGACCGUCGUGAGACAGGUUAGUUUUACCCUACUGUCUCUGAUAUAACAUCAUAUUUGUAUAAAUAAUAAAAAUUUUACAACUUUUAUCAAACACACUGCGAUAGUAAUUCUGCAUAGUACGAAAGGAACUGCGGAAUCGGAUGUACGGUUUAGCGUUUGGUUGAUAAGCCAAAGAUGCGAAGCUGUCAUCCGCUUUUGGAUAAUAACUGAACGCCUCUAAGUCAGAA
rnacentral:rRNA from 1 species